rnacentral:rRNA from 1 species
AUUGAACGCUGGCGGCAUGCUUUACACAUGCAAGUCGAACGGUAACAGGGAGCUUGCUCCGCUGACGAGUGGCGAACGGGUGAGUAAUGCGUCGGAACGUGCCGAGUAGUGGGGGAUGACGCAUCGAAAGGUGUGCUACUACCGCAUACGUACUGAGGUAGAAAGUGGGGGACCUUCGGGCCGCACGCUAUUCGAGCGGCCGACGUCUGAUUAGCUAGUUGGUGAGGUAAAGGCGCACCAAGGCGACGAUCAGUAGCCGGUCUGAGAGGAUGAACGGCCACAUUGGGACUGAGACACGGCCCAAACUCCUACGGGAGGCAGCAGUGGGGAAUCUGCCGCAAUGGACGAAAGUCUGACGGAUCAACGCCGCGUGAGUGAAGAAGGUUUUCGGAUCGUAAAGCUCUGUUGUUUGAGACGAAUGUGCCUGUUUCGAAUAGGGAUAGGUAAUGACGGUAUUAAACGAGAAAGCCACGGCUAACUACGUGCCAGCCGCCGCGGUAAUAC